GUUGUAUGGUUAAGUGACUAAGCGUACACGGUGGAUGCCUUGGCAGUCAGAGGCGAUGAAAGACGUAGUAACUUGCGAUAAGCCCAGAUUAGGUAGUAACAACCAUUUGAGUCUGGGAUUUCUGAAUGGGGAAACCCACGUGCAUAAGCACGUAUCCUUACCUGAAUACAUAGGGUAAGGAGGCGAACCGGGGGAACUGAAACAUCUAAGUACCCCGAGGAAAAGAAAUCAACCGAGAUUCCGAAAGUAGCGGCGAGCGAAAUUGGACUAGCCCUUAAGCUUUACACGCGUUAGACGAACGGUCUGGAAAGUCCGACGAUACAGGGUGAUAGUCCCGUAGUUGACGACGUGUGUUCAGUGAAAUCGAGUAGGGCGGGACACGUGAUAUCCUGUCUGAAUAUGGGGGGACCAUCCUCCAAGGCUAAAUACUACUGACUGACCGAUAGUGAACCAGUACCGUGAGGGAAAGGCGAAAAGAACCCCUGUGAGGGGAGUGAAAUAGAACCUGAAACCGUGUACGUACAAGCAGUAGGAGCAGGCUUCGUCCUGUGACUGCGUACCUUUUGUAUAAUGGGUCAGCGACUUAUAUUCAGUGGCAAGGUUAACCAUCUAGGGGAGCCGUAGGGAAACCGAGUCUUAACUGGGCGUUCAGUCUCUGGAUAUAGACCCGAAACCAGGUGAUCUAGCCAUGGGCAGGUUGAAGGUUGAGUAACAUCAACUGGAGGACCGAACCGACUAAUGUUGAAAAAUUAGCGGAUGACUUGUGGCUAGGGGUGAAAGGCCAAUCAAACCUGGAGAUAGCUGGUUCUCCCCGAAAGCUAUUUAGGUAGCGCCUCGGACGAAUACUACUGGGGGUAGAGCACUGUUAAGGCUA
rnacentral:rRNA from 1 species